AUGAAUGACUUAUUCUCUCUAUUCUCUAACACGUUUCUUCUGCACACCUAUAUAUAACCCCAAAACUUGUCCAUAAAUCUCCAACCUCAAGAGUCUUCACUACCACUACCUUUCUCCAACUCUUCUUAGUUCUUCCUACUACCAUGCUACCGUAUCCUUUGCCCGAGAUCCUGUUGCUGGAGUUGAAGCUACUGAUUUAUAGAACCAUGACUUAUUUUUGUGUUCAUCAUCGACUGUAAUUUCUUUGAUUAAUUAGAGAAACUUGCUAACAAAUGCAAUGAUCUGUUUAAGACCCACACAAUGGUUAUUCCAACGACACUUCUAUGACACAAUCAUAGUUUUGAUAGUGGCCAGUCUUCGGGCCAGUCUUCGGGACGAAGACCAAGUGGGUCUUCAGGAGGAGCAGGAGGACCGAUUCGUCGGCGUCAGUCGACCACAACUCCAUCUGUCUUUCUGCCCCAGGUCUCAGAAUACGAUCCUGAGCCUGAAGAGAGGAUCCAUAAAGAAUUGUGGGCACUUUUGGAGAGUAAGCUAUGAAUACAUUUUCUGAUGAUGUGAUUGCAAAUUUACCUAAGUUGCAUCACAAUGCAUGCAUGACUCGUCACUCGUUUACUAAUCUUGUAUCGAACCAUUUAAGGAUAAGUGAUGAUCCAAUCGAAAUCAUGAGGCAUUGUAACUUGAAGAGGAACUCCGAGAACUUGCUGCAUUUCAUGGAUGAAUGCCAAACAUUAGAGCUCGUUUACGAGGACUUGCUGCAACAAAAAAAUAUCCAUGACUAUGGAAUAUAUGUUUUAAAGUAUUUGGAGAUGUGGGAUGGUGACAGGAAAUGAGGUGAUAGAACCAUGUCUGAUUCACAUUGGAUGAAAUUCUACAUUUUCGUCGACAAUUUGUUUGUGAAUGGGUGUUGCAUCCUCAAAAUCUCGAGUUGAAACAUGUACGAGUAGAAGCAAGUCUGCCGGAUGACUUCUCAAUAGAUUCGCUUCAGUCUUGAUUGGAUAUAGGGAGAGUUUCACUCUCACAAUGCAGGGAAACGUAAUCUUGUGCAAGAUUCCCAAAUGGUAAUUUAGGCGCAGUUGAAGUGACAAUGAAUCAAGUAACAAAUCAAGAUUCCUAAAGGUUGAGAUAAUGUCUGUUGUGAGUUAAGACUGUGAGCGGACAAAUAUUGAUGCUCAUAUUUCUGUGAGCGUGUCCUAAAUGUUUAUGCUUUUAUUUUGGCAUCUCAUUAUUUUGGUUGUUAAGCAAACAAAUCUUUGGGUUUCCUUCUUCAUACUGGCUUAAUUUGGUUAUUGUGAUCAAAGAAUGAAUACAGUUUGUUUGUUGUUAAGUGCUUUAACUUGAAGAUCAGUAGAAGAAGCUACUUUAGACGUAGAGAUUAUGUUUACCUUAAAAAAUCUAUUAAUUAGCCAAAAAUUUGUACUAAGGUAAGCAAUUCGAAAUGAUAGUUGUAUUGAAGCAUUGCAAACAACUUUUACUGUAUCAUAUGUCGAUUAAAACAAACGGGUAGCCAAACAAUAUAACAUUGCA